AUCUGUAAAAAAGAGGUCAUUUAGUCUCCCCAGGAAGCACAGACAUUUAGAAGGUCCCCGUACAACUCAUGCAAGUAUUUUAUUAACAACAAUUUCUGUUCACAUUUAGGGUUUGCCCUCUUCACUGCUCAAAGAGGGUCUGUGGCCCUGGCAAAGGAAUGUGGACAAAUGGAUGACCAGAACUGCACCCUGAAAGUAAUCUGCUCAUGGAAACUGUCCUGGAAUAUUGGAUUGGACCAGCUCUGUGAUGGUCGUGCCCAUUUUGAGACUCUCAUGUUAAUGCCACAAGAACUUCAGUCUACUGUAUAAUAUUUCAGACAUGGAGGGGGGAAAAAAAAGAAGAAAUGAAGAAAAAGAAAAACCAGCCGUCUGCAUCCACUUAAACUACAUUACAAUAAAGCUCAGUAAAGAUCUGAUCAGCAGUUUUUUAGCCUGCUCUGA